AUCUAGCUGACGAGUCUUAAAUAGGACGAAACGUGUCUCCUGGAU
rnacentral:hammerhead_ribozyme from 1 species